rnacentral:rRNA from 1 species
GUUCUGGCAUCGAUGAAGAACGCAGCGAAAUGCGAUAAGUAAUGUGAAUUGCAGAAUUCAGUGAAUCAUCGAAUCUUUGAACGCACAUUGCGCCCGCCAGUACUCUGGCGGGCAUGCCUGUCCGAGCGUCAUUUCAACCCUCAGCAACCGCUUUAUAGCG